ACGCACGCUGGCGGCGUGCCUCACACAUGCAAGUCGCACGGAAAGGCCCUGCUUUUGUGGGGUGCUCGAGUGGCGAACGGGUGAGUAACACGUGAGUAACCUGCCCUUGACUUUGGGAUAACUUCAGGAAACUGGGGCUAAUACCGGAUAGGAGCUCCUGCUGCAUGGUGGGGGUUGGAAAGUUUCGGUGGUUGGGGAUGGACUCGCGGCUUAUCAGCUUGUUGGUGGGGUAGUGGCUUACCAAGGCUUUGACGGGUAGCCGGCCUGAGAGGGUGACCGGCCACAUUGGGACUGAGAUACGGCCCAGACUCCUACGGGAGGCAGCAGUGGGGAAUAUUGCACAAUGGGCGGAAGCCUGAUGCAGCAACGCCGCGUGCGGGAUGACGGCCUUCGGGUUGUAAACCGCUUUCGCCUGUGACGAAGCGUGAGUGACGGUAAUGGGUAAAGAAGCACCGGCUAACUACGUG
rnacentral:rRNA from 1 species